CCCAAGUCAUGCUAGAUUUUUUUUGUGAAUUUUGACACAGCAAGCACAAAAGGUUGCCCAUCAUUGCCCUAGGCCACCGGAGGCUCCUAUUAUAUGCACACAUAUAAUCCAAACCUAAAGCACAAAUGAAAAACAAAACAAAAAGCAAGGGAGUAAAAAUAUAAUCAGUUCUGAUCAAUCCUAAUUUCUAAAAUUGCUCUCUUGACUUCAGGGGAUUUAAUGCUUUAAUUGAAAUGGCAGAUCUAUCUGUGUCCUUGUUAAAACCAAACGGUUGGUGCCUGUUCCUGCACAGACUCCAAAAAAUAAUAUCUUGGCGAUGGAAGGGUUAAGGAGACAACAAAAGGUUGUUUCUAAUUCCAGUGUGAGCAUUCUCAGUGAUGCACUCUGAAAAUCCAUCCUGCCAUGCUGAAAUCCUAAAUUGCCGGUGCCUUGCACCCUACCGCAACAUUUCAGUCUGCUGGAAAGGUUGCCGCAACUGUUGCUAUGGCCAAAAGCUUGGAUCUGCCUGUACCUGUCCAACAAUAAACCGCACCAGGGGAGGACUUCGGGUGAGCCGAACACCUCGGUCACACGCUAAGCAAACUCCCAACAGGUGUGCUUGCAGAACGGGCUCUCCAUCAGCGUCCUGUCAUGCAUAAAAUGUUUAUCCAAUUUGUCAAGAUAAUCUUUCCUCAAAUAAGGCCAGGGUCUAGGCCCCAGGAACAACCAGAAUUCAGGUGGUAUAAAGUAACUCUCUCCCUCUCUUUUUCCUCCCUUUCCCCUUCCCGGAGCCUCCUUCCCCUGCUCUUCUUAAUCGUUGUGUCAACUUUUCCUCAGCUUUAAGCAAACCCAGAGUCAUUAUGUCAUUUGUAAUGGGAGAUAUCUGCUCACAGGCCAAGCCGAUUUGCCAGCUAACUUCAAAAUGCUUCUAAAAGGUGCUUGGAUCCCUUUCCAAAUACACCUUUUGCAGAUGUUUCUCCAAGCCCGGUACAUCAAUGACCUGACGAUUUGUUUGACUAGCCGCAGAUAAUGGGUCUUUGAUGGCUAAAUUGGGAAUUACGUGUAAAUAAAAUACAUACUCCACUUAGGUCUUUAGUGCUACUCCAUCUCCUUACCUGUCUACCUGCUUAUAGGACAUAGAAAUGAUCACAAUGGGCGAGACCAAAGGCCCCCAUGAAUCAGUGAAGCGUCCCAUCAAGCAUGACUGGAUGGAUCUUUAUAGGAAUUGGGCCCCUCUC
rnacentral:lncRNA from 1 species